UCCGAUAUGGUGUAGUGGCUAACGUUAUCGCCUCUCAGCCGAUUGUUAUCGAGAUCGCGAUAGCCCGGGGUUCGAUUCCCCGUGUCGGAA